rnacentral:lncRNA from 1 species
CUCACUCGACUCACGACUCAACUCACGAGAAAUAAAAUUGGAGCAACUCGUGGACCAAUUAGAAGAGCUUAUUUUGAGGGGGGGGGGGGGCGGAUGGUUGGCAACAACCUCACAUUAUGCAUUAUUUGAAUUCAAAUUCGCCAAUAGGCUUGCAAGCCAGACCCAUGUCAAGUUCAUAUUAUUUGAAUUCAAAUGCGCCAAUAGGCUGGCAAGCCAGACCCACGUCAAGAUGUUGAAAUUAAAUUUACUGCCGCUAGGGGCGACUAACGUGUAUAAAUACGUUGCGAUCUCGGCGGGAGUUUGAGUUGUUCAAAAUGCACAGGCGACUCUCUGAAAUCCGCAGACAGGUGAACGCAAACUUCGAUCGAGCCAUGGAUCGCAGUACCGAGGAGGCCACAGACGGACUUGUGGAUAGGUUUGCACUGUUUCGAAGGGAGGAAGGAGCAGGACCCGCACAAAGCAGCAGGAGGAGAAGACCACGGAGGACACAACUUUUGAUAAAGGUCUCCGUCCUUAAGCAGGACAUUGCGGUGUACCGCUGUACACAAGAAAUCUUAGUCACCUGCACAGUGGUACUGCAGGACACAAUGUCCCGCGAGGAGUUCCUGCACGCCCUCAGGGAUAAAGUGCCGUACAUGCCAGAGGCCUUCGACCUCUGCAGGCUCAUUGGCCGUAGAUUCAUCGUUCUGGUCGAUGUCUGCCCGAGAGACCUUCGGGGACGUGGCAUGAUGGGCCGGUCCAAUCUGUACAUCCGACCAAAGGUAGAUGAACAUUAACAAAUAAGCACAACAGGUCAAAUAAAAUAAACAUCGACCACUGUACCUGGCAUUAACAAUUUAUUUUACAGGGUGCUGCGGCUGCCAUUCCCUCAACCAAUGAGGUCCGGC